AGUUUGCCAUGACAAAAUACAUGGUAAGUCUAUGUUUCAGCUGAUACUCUCAUUUAAACACACGUUCUCAGCAGACG